rnacentral:misc_RNA from 1 species
UGGGCUGGAUGGCGGCGG